UGUUGAGGAUGAUGAGACAUAAUAAUUCACAGUUAUCCCUGUCUGAGCAAGUAUUUGCUGAAUCCAAUGUGAUCUGACUCUCAA